rnacentral:rRNA from 1 species
AGCAGCCGCGGUAAUUCCAGCUCCAAUAGCGUAUAUUAAAGUUGUUGCAGUUAAAAAGCUCGUAGUUGAAUUUCGGGACCAAUCUGCCGGUCGUGCCUCCGGUACGCACUGGUUUUAUUGGUUUCUCCCUUCUGACGAACCAUGAUGUCAUUAAUUUGGUGUCAUGGGGAAUCAGGACUGUUACUUUGAAAAAAUUUAGAGUGUUUAUAGCAGGCUCACGCUUGAAUACAUUAGCAUGGAAUAAUGAAAUAGGACGUUUGACCCUAUUUUGUUGGUUUCUAGGAUCGACGUAAUGAUUAAUAGGGAUAGUUGGGGGCAUUAGUAUUCAAUUGUCAGAGGUGAAAUUCUUGGAUUUAUUGAAGACUAACUACUGCGAAAGCAUUUGCCAAGGAUGUUUUCAUUAAUCAAGAACGAAAGUUAGGGGAUCGAAGACGAUCAGAUACCGUCGUAGUCUUAACCAUAAACUAUGCCGACUAGGGAUCGGAUGAUGUUAAUUUUUUAAUGACUCAUUCGGCGCCUU